rnacentral:rRNA from 1 species
GGUGAGUAACACGUGGAUAACCUACCUAUAAGACUGGGAUAACUUCGGGAAACCGGAGCUAAUACCGGAUGAUAUUUUGAACCGCAUGGUUACAAAGUGAAAGACGGUCUUGCCGUCACUUAUAGAUGGAUCCGCGCUGCAUUAGCUAGUUGGUAAGGUAACGGCUUACCAAGGCAACGAUGCAUAGCCGACCUGAGAGGGUGAUCGGCCACACUGGAACUGAGACACGGUCCAG